rfam:Callithrix jacchus chromosome 17, whole genome shotgun sequence
UAAUGUUACAGCUCUUUUAGAAUGUAUCUAGCAGGCUUUCCAGUUUUUGCAGGAAAGCUCCU